rnacentral:piRNA from 1 species
UGCCCUGAAAUUACUCGCUGCUCAGG